rnacentral:rRNA from 1 species
AUUGAACGCUGGCGGCAUGCUUUACACAUGCAAGUCGAACGGUAACAGGGAGCUUGCUCCGCUGACGAGUGGCGAACGGGUGAGUAAUGCGUCGGAACGUGCCGAGUAGUGGGGGAUAACGCAUCGAAAGGUGUGCUAAUACCGCAUACGUACUGAGGUAGAAAGUGGGGGACCUUCGGGCCUCACGCUAUUCGAGCGGCCGACGUCUGAUUAGCUAGUUGGUGAGGUAAAGGCUCACCAAGGCGACGAUCAGUAGCGGGUCUGAGAGGAUGAUCCGCCACACUGGGACUGAGACACGGCCCAGACUCCUACGGGAGGGAGCAGUGGGGAAUUUUGGACAAUGGGCGCAAGCCUGAUCCAGCUAUGCCGCGUGUCUGAAGAAGGCCUUCGGGUUGUAAAGGACUUUUGUCCGGGAGCAAAUGCCUGGUGUUAAUAGCAUCGGGAGCUGAGAGUACCGGAAGAAUAAGCACCGGCUAACUACGUGCCAGCCGCCGCCGUAACAC